CACCUUGAAUUUAGUCAUAUCACUCGCCCGAACGAAAGCAUAUCAAUAAGGCGGAGGAA
rnacentral:rRNA from 1 species